rnacentral:misc_RNA from 1 species
ACGCUUGUUUGAGCGUUUUUUGAAAUUCAAUGUAUAAACGGUGUUCGAACAGAGGCUAAUAAACGUAAAUUGUUAUAAAAGCUGUGCGAGCGAAGCCGCGAGCGGCCAGUUGGUGUUAAUACAAACUUAGUUUAAUCGCAGACUCGAAAGUGCGCAAUCGAAUUAAUUCGAAUUUCUGAAACGUUAAAUUCGAAGUUUUGGUAACCUCAAGUGCGUUUUAAUGCAUUUUCAAGCACGGAAUCGCGUAACAAUCGUGAAGAUGACCGAGCAAUUAAAACAAUUUGAAGAAAAAUUUCAAUGAGAAGAAUUACAUGCACGAAAUAUUGGAAAAAUACGGAUCAUCGUAUACGCGUUACAGACAAGAUAUUCGAGAAAAUUUCAUGCAGAGCUCUUCAAAAGAUAGAAGCAAGCGUUCCCUGGAGAUUCCAUUCUGUUUCAUACCCAUAUCUCGAUCGGUUCUCGAGAUACGGUCGUUUAAAUAUAGCGUCGAAGGCGCGAGGCAUAGUGAAUGGCGACCGAAAUUCCCGGAAACGCCGUGACCCACUUUUUUUCCUGGAAAUGCGUACGUUGCGGGCGACGCGACGAUAGUAAAAAGGCGCUGACUCAGCUGCUGUCACUGACCACCGCACUCGAGGUAGGUCGGUGAACGAACGUGCGAGAGAGAAAGAGAAACAGAGGAGAAAGGUGCGAGCGUGCGACAAGGACAGCGACAGCGAAAAUUAACGUUCCCUUCGAACGACGAUAUCUCGAGAACGGUACAUCGUAUCGAUGCGAGGUAAAAACGGUUUUGAAGAGGAGGAUUUUUUGUCCCUAACGAGCUAAGAAGAUGUACGAUUUUGCUGCGGGUGAGCGACACAUAUUUCCCGGGUAAAGGAUGAAUUCGUCGCGAAAAUAGCUGGGGACCCGCUAGAUGACGACCGUUGGCGAAGAGAAUUUUUGAAACGUGACGAGAGAUUCUAUGAGAUGGAGGAAUCAGAGGAAAUUUUCCAUCUAAUAUCUCCUGCUAAGCUGUAAAAAUAUUUCG